rnacentral:tRNA from 1 species
CCCUGAGUGGUGAAAAUGGUCAGCAUACUCAGCUGCUAAUUGAAAGGUUGGUGGUUCGAGUCCACCCAGAGGCA